GAUGAACGCUGGCGGCGUGCUUAACACAUGCAAGUCGAACGGGAUCCAAGGGGUGCUUGCACUUUUUGGUGAGAGUGGCGAACGGGUGAGUAACACGUGAGUAACCUGUCCUUUUCUUUGGGAUAAGCAUUCGAAAGGGUGUUUAAUACCUUAUGUUCUGUCUGCCUCGCAUGGGGUGGGUGGGAAAGGCUUUGGCCGGAUUUGGGUGGGCUCGCGGUCUAUCAGCUUGUUGGUGGGGUGAUGGCUUACCAAGGCUUUGACGGGUAGCCGGCCUGAGAGGGUGGUCGGUCACAUUGGGACUGCGAUACGGCCCAGACUCCUGCGGGAGGCAGCAGUGGGGGAUAUUGCACAAUGGGCGAAAGCCUGAUGCAGCGACGCCGCGUGGGGGAUGAAGGCCUUCGGGUUGUAAACUUCUUUUGCUCUGAACAAGGCAUGCCAGUGGGUGUGUUGAGUGUAGGGGUGGAUUAGCGCCGGCUAACUACGUG
rnacentral:rRNA from 1 species